rnacentral:rRNA from 1 species
UACAGAGGGUGCAAGCGUUAAUCGGAAUUACUGGGCGUAAAGCGAGCGUAGUCGGUUAUUUAAGUCGGGUGUGAAAGCCCCGGGCUCAACCUGGGAAUUGCAUUCGAUACUGGAUAGCUAGGGUGCGGUAGAGGGUAGUGGAAUUCCCGGUGUAGCAGUGAAAUGCGUAGAGAUCGGGAGGAACACCAGUGGCGAAGGCGACUACCUGGACCAGCACUGACACUGAGGCACGAAAGCGUGGGGAGCAAACAGG